GGCAAUUUCAGUCCAUUGGAUGCCAUUCGCAGUUAGUUCAGUAGCGUGGAUGGAGAAUAACGCGUGAAUGGAGGAACAAAUGAAAAAUGGAUAAGAUAAUACAACAAAAGGAUGAUCAAAUUAUGAAGCUGCAGGCCCAAUUAUUGGAACAACACAAAAUAUUAGAUAACAGCAAAGCUAAGGAUGCUCAAAUUUUGAGUCUACAAGCUCAGCUAGGGGAAAAGAACAAAUUGGAAUGGAACAGUUUCCAAACAGUGAAG